rnacentral:lncRNA from 1 species
ACUAUGAGAAGGAAAUGGUGGCAAUUGGCAAAUGGAACUCUGUUGCUUGGUAACAAGACCUGAGUUGUUUAGAAAAAAUGCAACAGAGAUCUGGAGAAACCAACCUGACUUCUAUUUUUAAACUUCAGCUCAAGAUUUAACUAUACACAUGGACAUUUAUUUGCAUAAACUGGUAAUAGCCUACAUAGCACCAUAUUUUUUAGUCUUCUGGGACCAGCCUCCUGCAACUCCCCACAAUGAAAAGCUGUGCCUCCUCUGAUUUAAAUGGGUCUAUAAAUCCCAGAUCGCUGCCUGUCCCCUUGACCAGAGGGAGGUCCAUUACCAAGGGGCAGGUGAUUGGGGUAAUGCCUGCUGGCCCUCACAACUGGUCUAGGAGUAAGCACCUACCCAAAAGUGAGCCUUUCUGAGCCUUUCUUUUCCAGAAAUUCCCCUAACUGAAGGGGUGAGGGAAAGAGCUCUCCUGCCCUUGGCAUUACUAAGCCUUCCCCCAGGACGGUCCUGUAACUCCAGAGCUGCCUGUGGUCACCUCCAUACCAGAAGCAUCUGAAGUGACAGAUGACGAGUGACUGCACAAAAGAAGCCAAGAUUUAAGGCAAAGAAAUGGAAAGACGGUCAUGAUACUUCCACUUCUGGAUCCAAGUGACUCUGAAGCCAACACCAUCUCCUCCUCUCCUACAUCAAGAGACAUCAAAUUCCCCUUUUUGGAUAAAAUUUUUUGAGAUCAGUUUCUGUCACUGCAACCAAGUGCAUUCUGACCAAUACGCUUAUAUGUCCAACAGGAUUGUUUAAGCAAACCACAGACUCAAAAGUUAUGUGGCCAUUACAAACGAUCUUACCAAAGUGUAACUCAAUAAAAAUUAAAUGAAUAGUGGAAUUCCCUCAUGGCUCAGUGGGUUAAAGAUCCACAUUGGCACUGCUGUAGCUCAGGUUACUGAUGAGGCAUGGGUUCAAUCCCUGGCCUGGGAACUUCCACAUGCCAUGGGUGUGGCCAAAAAAUUUAAAAGCAAAAACAAAAAAUUAAGUGAACAGAUAUCAUGCAAAAAUUACCUGGUAUAUUAAGUGAAAAAAAGCUAGUUAUAAAAAAAUAUUCACAGUAUCAACUAAUUAUGUUCAAAAUAGAUGAAUAAAUAAAAACAUUUUAAUGG